UUUUACUCUCGAACUCUUUUCGUCUGAAACACCUCCAUCAUGUAACAAGAACAACACCUCCAUCAUGUAACAAGAACAACACCUCCACCAUGAAGCAAGAACAACAGCUACGACAAAUAUGAUACGUAACAACAGAUUAAAACCCGGGUUAUUCGAUUGUUAAUCUUAUUCUUCUUUAAUUUUGACAAUUUGAAUCACCGAUUUUUGACCUAAUUUUGGCUUCCUAUUUCAGCAACCAUUGCAAUUGCUUUCCAUUCCUUAUGCUACGGAACACCUGAGGCCAUUUCAUCUUCGUUUUGUCUGUCGUGCUCUCUCAUCCUUGGACACACCCCAACUGUGAACAGAGCUACAGUACAAUAACGGCUACGAAACAGAUUACGAUUUCAUUACUUCUAUCUCGAAAUUGUGUCUUUAGGUUCGUCAAGUCCAAAUCUAAUUCAUUCAAAUUUAUGAAUUUUGUCACCGAUUUUCUACUCUUAUUUGAUCUAUCUUUGAAUUUUAGUUUGUUUCCCAAUUUCAGUUGCCAUUUUUUUCGAUUCUUCAGGAUUUCGGCAAAGAACCCAUUAAAAUUGUGUUUUUUUUUUAAAAAAAAUUUGUGAAGUUCAGUAGUUUGUUGAUUUUCCUGAGAGAAAACAUGUUCACUUAUUUUCAUAUAUUUGGUUGCUUUGGAUUGGCGAUUCUUUGUAUGUUUGUCGUAAGAGCGUAAUAGAGAAUAGUGAAGAUUGUGAACCUAUUGUAUUUCUUAGUCCUCCAUACUUUUCAAAUUAUUCCAUAACUUUUUGUUUGUCUAGCCAACAUGAAAAUAUGCUAAGGUUAUGGUUUAGUCAUAGUAGGGAUUGUUUGAGACACGGUAUCUUCCGAGCCCGAAAUUGCCCGAACACCACUUCCAUUGGGUUCCAACCAGAGCUCUUAAGCUACUGAUGAUUUUUAUUUAAGAGAGGUAAAGUUGAGAAAUCAAGUGAAUACUCCCUCCAUUUCAAAAUUAUUAGAGGUUGGUAUGUCUCUCUAUACCUCAAUCACUGACACUUGCUUGAUGGCUUAUACUUGAAAUGGUUUUGUAAAUGUUAGAAACUUUAGUAAUACAGCUCAAGAAAAGUACUGAGGAUCAGAAAGCUUAGGCAAGCAACAUACACCGGCACUUGCAUUGUAUUCUCUCACACAGGUAGUUGCAUGAUUGCAGGUACGAUGUUGCUAUGAAUAUAAACACUCGAGGACCUUUUUGACUUAUGACUUUGUAAAAAGGUGCAAGAAACUUCAACUGUUCUUGCAAGUAUCAACUGUAAUAUGGAUGUAGUCUUCAUUUCAUCGACAACCUAUGUUAACGGACAAAGACAAGGUAGAAUCUUGGAAAAACCAUUUUCUAUCGGGGAUAGCCUAGCAAGGGAACAACUCGCAUCUAAUACCCAUGCAAGAGCUCCACCCUUGAUAGAUAUUGAAGCUGAAAUGAAGUUGGCUUUGCAUUCAAAAGAGACAUUCCAAGAAAAUUUGAAUUGGGUUUUGAAAGGGCUAGGACCUAAGGUUGGCAAGACACAUAUGUGCUCACUAAGGCCAUGGGAGAAAUGAUAAUCAACAGUAUGAGAGGGGAUAUACCUGUAGCCAUAAUACGUCCGAGUGUCAUUGAAAGUACUUACAUGGAACCUUUUCCAGGAUGGAUGGAAGGAAACAGGAUGAUGGAUCCAAUAGUUUUAUACUAUGGUAAAGGCUUUUAGCUGACCCAAAAGGAGUUCUUGAUGUGGUGCGUCGAAGAGGUAUAAAAAUUAGCUGCUGGCAUCCAUUUGCUGAAACAGGGUCUAAUGCUUUAGCAAUUGUUGUGGUGAGAUAUUAUUAAGGUGAUUCUCGAGGUUGGCAGGCCUAUAAAUUCUCCACAAUUAUCAUUUUUGAAUCAUAAGAAUUGGCACACAGGGCACAAGUUAUAAAAGUUCUCUUUUUAUGUUUUUUGAUUAAAGCUAUACCUCUUUGUGGCGAUGGCCGGUAAGGAAGUCUUCGUUCCCUUGUUGUAGCCUUAGAAUCAUAGAGUAAGAUAGAAUUGCGUUUGUUGUUUAUAUUAGUGUUUUACUUGCUGUAGUAUAUGAACAUUUUGCGUAAAUGGGUAUUAUAAUUGGAAAAUAAUUAAAUGAAAAUUUUGAUUUGUUUGGGAA